ACAGAACACACAUUUAGUCGCUGAUACCUGCCCAGACCUCUUAGAAGAGCCUAUUCAGCUACAUUAGUUGGGGGUUACCUUGUAUUUCCAAACGGUUUAGUUUUGCUCUGUUUUUGCUGUUUGCUGCUGAAGCAAUUAGAAAAGACAGACUUCGGAUUCAGAAGGAGCUGCAUUCAAACUCUCCCUCCAACAAAUUCUGCUUGUGAGGCAGUCAUCAAGCAAUUAUAAAACACAGGCACUGUGUUAAACACUGGGGAAACACAGAGCUGCAAAGAUUUGUCUAUGACUCCAGGGAGUACAUUAAUUCCCUUCUUCAUUUUCUUUGUGCUUUCCAGGGAACCAAGUAGACAUGAAGAGGUUCCAAAUAAGAAUGCCACUCAUCUCAGUUUGGGAAUCUUAAGCCCCAUGUUUGAGAUGCUCCUAAAUAAAAACACAUUUUAUAGUAUCUUUGUCUUUCAGUAUUUCUUUUCCAGACUUCUGGGGUUAAUGUAGGCACUUUCAAGAAAAAAAAAUAAAGAGGGGACAACUACGUGACCA
rnacentral:lncRNA from 1 species